UACGUAGGGUGCAAGCGUUGUCCGGAAUUAUUGGGCGUAAAGAGCUCGUAGGCGGUCUGUCGCGUCGGCUGUGAAAACCCGUGGCUCAACCCGGGCCUGCAGUCGAUACGGGCAGACUAGAGUGCGGUAGGGGAGACUGGAAUUCCUGGUGUAGCGGUGAAAUGCGCAGAUAUCAGAGGAACACCGGUGGCGAAGGCGGGUCUCUGGGCCGUAACUGACGCUGAGGAGCGAAAGCGUGGGAGCAAACAGG
rnacentral:rRNA from 1 species